AGUGAACGCUGGCGGUAGGCCUAACACAUGCAAGUCGAACGGCAGUACAGUAGGAGCUUGCUCUUACGGGUGGCGAGUGGCGGACGGGUGAGGAAUACAUCGGAAUCUACUUUUUCGUGGGGGAUAACGUAGGGAAACUUACGCUAAUACCGCAUACGACCUACGGGUGAAAGCAGGGGAUCUUCGGACCUUGCGCGAUUGAAUGAGCCGAUGUCGGAUUAGCUAGUUGGCGGGGUAAAGGCCCACCAAGGCGACGAUCCGUAGCUGGUCUGAGAGGAUGAUCAGCCACACUGGAACUGAGACACGGUCCAGACUCCUACGGGAGGCAGCAGUGGGGAAUAUUGGACAAGGGGCGCAAGCCUGAUCCAGCCAUGCCGCGUGGGUGAAGAAGGCCUUCGGUUUGUAAAGCCCUUUUGGUGGGAAGGAAAAGCAGUAGGUUAAUACCCUGCUGUUUUGACGUUACCAAAAGAAUAAGCACCGGCUAACUUCGUG
rnacentral:rRNA from 1 species